rnacentral:rRNA from 1 species
UACGUAGGGACCAAGCGUUGUUCGGAUUUACUGGGCGUAAAGGGCGCGUAGGCGGCAAUUCAAGUCAUCUGUGAAAUCUCCGGGCUUAACUCGGAACGGUCAGGUGAUACUGCUUUGCUAGAGUGCGGAAGGGGCAAUCGGAAUUCUCGGUGUAGCGGUGAAAUGCGUAGAUAUCGGAAGGAACAUCAGUGGCGAAAGCGGCUUCCUGGACCAGUACCGACGUUCAGGCACGAAAGCGUGGGGAGCAAACAGG